ACUAAACCAACUCCAUACUGGUCGCCCUAUAAAAACAACCUGAUGAAAAAUUCAGGUUUGCACAUGUGCAGAAAGGAUCUGCAUGGUUGUAAAAAGAGUUGUGGAAAAAAAGUUC